GCCUUUUCCAUUUUUUUUUAUAAUGGGAUCAUGGAAAAUACAGAUAACUUUAAUCCUAAAAACAGUUUCACUAGUAACAUUGGCUUUUAUUGCUUCUUCACUGUUUUUAAUGGUCCUUAUAGUUGACUCAUUAAUAUUGAUUAGCCUAGCCACCAAUAUAGCACUUCUGUCAUGCCCUAACCUUGUCAUCACCUUGAGUUUUUUCUGCAAUGAUAUGUUUUUAGCUCUUUUGGCUGGUUUAUCAUCACCAAUGGUUUUUUGAAUGUUUGGAACACAUCACGAUGAAAAAGAAUAAUUUAUAAAAA
rnacentral:lncRNA from 1 species